GAAAGAUGAAAAGAACUUUGAAAAGAGAGUUAAACAGUACGUGAAAUUGUUGAAAGGGAAACGAUUGAAGCCAGUCGUACCUUCGGGUAAUCAGCCUUUCGGGUGCGAUUCUGUGGGGUUUGAGGAGCUUAACACCUUCAUGCUUUGCAUAUUCGUGCUCUUGGGUGUACUUGCCCGUGUGGUUGGUUAACAUCAAUUUUGGUGGUCAUAAAAUGACUGGAGGAAUGUAGCUUCGAUCUCGUAUUGAAGUGUUAUA
rnacentral:rRNA from 1 species